rnacentral:rRNA from 1 species
AACGAACGCUGGCGGCAGGCUUAACACAUGCAAGUCGAGCGCCCCGCAAGGGGAGCGGCAGACGGGUGAGUAACGCGUGGGAAUCUACCCAUCUCUACGGAAUAACGCAUGGAAACGUGUGCUAAUACCGUAUACGUCCUUCGGGAGAAAGAUUUAUCGGAGAUGGAUGAGCCCGCGUUGGAUUAGCUAGUUGGUGGGGUAAGGGCCUACCAAGGCGACGAUCCAUAGCUGGUCUGAGAGGAUGAUCAGCCACACUGGGACUGAGACACGGCCCAGACUCCUACGGGAGGCAGCAGUGGGGAAUAUUGGACAAUGGGCGCAAGCCUGAUCCAGCCAUGCCGCGUGAGUGAUGAAGGCCCUAGAGUUGUAAAGCUCUUUCACCGGUGAAGAUAAUGACGGUAACCGGAGAGGAAGCCCCGGCUAACUUCGUGCCAGCCGCCGCGGUAAUAC